rnacentral:rRNA from 1 species
AGCGGCGGACGGGUGAGUAACACGUGGGCAACCUGCCUGUAAGACUGGGAUAACUCCGGGAAACCGGAGCUAAUACCGGAUACUAUGUCAAACCGCAUGGUUUGACAUUCAAAGACGGUUUCGGCUGUCACUUACAGAUGGGCCCGCGGCGCAUUAGCUAGUUGGUGAGGUAAUGGCUCACCAAGGCGACGAUGCGUAGCCGACCUGAGAGGGUGAUCGGCCACACUGGGACUGAGACACGGCCCAGACUCCUACGGGAGGCAGCAGUAGGGAAUCUUCCGCAAUGGACGAAAGUCUGACGGAGCAACGCCGCGUGAGUGAUGAAGGUUUUCGGAUCGUAAAACUCUGUUGUCAGGGAAGAACAAGUGCCGGAGUAACUGCCGGCGCCUUGACGGUACCUGACCAGAAAGCCACGGCUAACUACGUGCCAGCAGCCGCGGUAAUACGUAGGUGGCAAGCGUUGUCCGGAAUUAUUGGGCGUAAAGCGCGCGCAGGCGGUUUCUUAAGUCUGAUGUGAAAGCCCCCGGCUCAACCGGGGAGGGUCAUUGGAAACUGGGAAACUUGAGUGCAGAAGAGGAGAGUGGAAUUCCACGUGUAGCGGUGAAAUGCGUAGAGAUGUGGAGGAACACCAGUGGCGAAGGCGACUCUCUGGUCUGUAACUGACGCUGAGGCGCGAAAGCGUGGGGAGCGAACAGGAUUAGAUACCCUGGUAGUCCACGCCGUAAACGAUGAGUGCUAAGUGUUAGAGGGUUUCCGCCCUUUAGUGCUGCAGCUAACGCAUUAAGCACUCCGCCUGGGGAGUACGGUCGCAAGACUGAAACUCAAAGGAAUUGACGGGGGCCCGCACAAGCGGUGGAGCAUGUGGUUUAAUUCGAAGCAACGCGAAGAACCUUACCAGGUCUUGACAUCCUUUGCCACUUCUAGAGAUAGAAGGUUCCUCUUCGGGGGACAAAGUGACAGGUGGUGCA